GUUUGAUUAUGGCUCAGAACGAACGCUGGUGGCGUGUCUAUACAUGCAAGUCGAGCGAGGCAGCAAUGCCGAGCGGCGAACGGGUGAGUAACGCGUAAGCAAUCUGCCCCAUAUCAGGAAAUACCCGUGCCAACGCGCGGUUAAUGUCCAGGAGAGUGGCCUUCCGCAUGGAGGGUUGACUAGAGAUUUAUCGGUAUGGGAUGAGCUUGCGUCCGAUUAGCUAGUUGGCGGGCAACGGCCCACCAAGGCGACGAUCGGUAGCCGGCCUGAGAGGGUGAUCGGCCACAUUGGGACUGAGAUACGGCCCAGACUCCUACGGGAGGCAGCAGUAGGGAAUAUUGCACAAGUGGGGGAAACCCUGAUGCAGCAACGCCAACGUGUGGGAAGAAGCAUUUCGGUGUGUAAACCACUGCAUGAGGGAAUAAGGCCCGCCUUCGGACGGUACUUGAAUGUACCUUGGGAGGAAGCACCGGCAAACUUCGUGCCAGCCGCGGC
rnacentral:rRNA from 1 species